UGCCUGUCCCGUGGUCAUUUGAGCCGGCCGGCUUGCAGCCACGUUAAAAAAACUCGCUAAACAGGCCGGGGACGCAUCCGA
rnacentral:ncRNA from 2 species